GAUAUAUUUUCACGCGCGCGCCUCGCAGCCAACCGAGGCCGAGCGUACACAGCCAAGAGGAACGGAGACAGGGACAGACAGGCGAGAAAGAGGAGAAUUAGUGCUGCGAAAGGGAGGGGGAAGUUCGAAUCAGCCGAGAGUAUAGGAGACGCUUUUAAAACGCGUCGGUAUCGCUGUCUUUUGUUCGCGACACGCGUUGCGCGUGCGCUCGCGUCUUCUACCGACCAACGGACCGAUAGACGGACAGACCGAUCGACCGAAUAAACGAGCAAUCGCGACAGACCGGUUAUACACUAUGACGGACGAAAUCCAUCGUUAACGAGUCACUCGUUCUCUCUCUCUUUCCCUCACGUGGUGUCCGAGAACGAAUCGACCUCCCUGAAACGACACCAACGGUGGCUGGUACUCGACUAAAGAGCCGAGUCGCGCGUUCGACGCGCUUCGUUCGCCUUCGUGUCCCUUUCGCCCCUCCACGGUGCCAACGCGAUCGUACAGAUACCACCGUGCGCUCCGAGCAAGAUCGUCCGAUCCGUUCGGGCGAGAGUAGAAUACGAGCGUGCGACAAGCCGGACUACGCCUGCUUUUCGGCCAAUGGAACCCGUCGCGCGUUAUUACACGCGUCUUUGCAAGUCGUUUCGCGAGCCGGCGGCAUAGCCUAGCGUCUAGCCUACUACGAGGAUACUUUUUGCGCC
rnacentral:misc_RNA from 1 species